GUACCGUGAGGGAAAGGCGAAAAGAACCCCGGCGAGGGGAGUGAAAAAGAACCUGAAACCGUGUACGUACAAGCAGUGGGAGCCUCUUAAUGGGGUGACUGCGUACCUUUUGUAUAAUGGGUCAGCGACUUAUAUUCUGUAGCAAGGUUAACCGAAUAGGGGAGCCGAAGGGAAACCGAGUCUUAACUGGGCGUUAAGUUGCAGGGUAUAGACCCGAAACCCGGUGAUCUAGCCAUGGGCAGGUUGAAGGUUGGGUAACACUAACUGGAGGACCGAACCGACUAAUGUUGAAAAAUUAGCGGAUGACUUGUGGCUGGGGGUGAAAGGCCAAUCAAACCGGGAGAUAGCUGGUUCUCCCCGAAAGCUAUUUAGGUAGCGCCUCGUGAAUUCAUCUCCGGGGGUAGAGCACUGUUUCGGCAAGGGGGUCAUCCCGACUUACCAACCCGAUGCAAACUGCGAAUACCGGAGAAUGUUAUCACGGGAGACACACGGCGGGUGCUAACGUCCGUCGUGAAGAGGGAAACAACCCAGACCGCCAGCUAAGGUCCCAAAGUCAUGGUUAAGUGGGAAACGAUGUGGGAAGGCCCAGACAGCCAGGAUGUUGGCUUAGAAGCAGCCAUCAUUUAAAGAAAGCGUAAUAGCUCACUGGUCGAGUCGGCCUGCGCGGAAGAUGUAACGGGGCUAAACCAUGCACCGAAGCUGCGGCAGCGACACUAUGUGUUGUUGGGUAGGGGAGCGUUCUGUAAGCCUGUGAAGGUGGCCUGUGAGGGUUGCUGGAGGUAUCAGAAGUGCGAAUGCUGACAUAAGUAACGAUAAAGCGGGUGAAAAGCCCGCUCGCCGGAAGACCAAGGGUUCCUGUCCAACGUUAAUCGGGGCAGGGUGAGUCGACCCCUAAGGCGAGGCCGAAAGGCGUAGUCGAUGGGAAACAGGUUAAUAUUCCUGUACUUGGUGUUACUGCGAAGGGGGGACGGAGAAGGCUAUGUUGGCCGGGCGACGGUUGUCCCGGUUUAAGCGUGUAGGCUGGUUUUCCAGGCAAAUCCGGAAAACCAAGGCUGAGGCGUGAUGACGAGGCACUACGGUGCUGAAGCGACAAAUGCCCUGCUUCCAGGAAAAGCCUCUAAGCAUCAGGUAACAUCAAAUCGUACCCCAAACCGACACAGGUGGUCAGGUAGAGAAUACCAAGGCGCUUGAGAGAACUCGGGUGAAGGAACUAGGCAAAAUGGUGCCGUAACUUCGGGAGAAGGCACGCUGAUAUGUAGGUGAAGCGACUUGCUCGUGGAGCUGAAAUCAGUCGAAGAUACCAGCUGGCUGCAACUGUUUAUUAAAAACACAGCACUGUGCAAACACGAAAGUGGACGUAUACGGUGUGACGCCUGCCCGGUGCCGGAAG
rnacentral:rRNA from 1 species